rnacentral:rRNA from 1 species
GACGAACGCUGGCGGCGUGCUUAACACAUGCAAGUCGAACGGAAAGGCCCUGCUUUUGUGGGGUGCACGAGUGGCGAACGGGUGAGUAACACGUGAGUAACCUGCCCUUGACUUUGGGAUAACUUCAGGAAACUGGGGCUAAUACCGGAUAGGAGCUCCUGCUGCAUGGUGGGGGUUGGAAAGUUUCGGCGGUUGGGGAUGGACUCGCGGCUUAUCAGCUUGUUGGUGGGGUAGUGGCUUACCAAGGCUUUGACGGGUAGCCGGCCUGAGAGGGUGACCGGCCACAUUGGGACUGAGAUACGGCCCAGACUCCUACGGGAGGCAGCAGUGGGGAAUAUUGCACAAUGGGCGGAAGCCUGAUGCAGCAACGCCGCGUGCGGGAUGACGGCCUUCGGGUUGUAAACCGCUUUCGCCUGUGACGAAGCGUGAGUGACGGUAAUGGGUAAAGAAGCACCGGCUAACUACGUGCCAGCAGCCGCGGUGAUACGUAGGGUGCGAGCGUUGUCCGGAUUUAUUGGGCGUAAAGGGCUCGUAGGUGGUUGAUCGCGUCGGAAGUGUAAUCUUGGGGCUUAACCCUGAGCGUGCUUUCGAUACGGGUUGACUUGAGGAAGGUAGGGGAGAAUGGAAUUCCUGGUGGAGCGGUGGAAUGCGCAGAUAUCAGGAGGAACACCAGUGGCGGAGGCGGUUCUCUGGGCCUUUCCUGACGCUGAGGAGCGAAGGCGUGGGGAGCGAACAGGCUUAGAUACCCUGGUAGUCCACGCUGUAAACGGUGGGUACUAGGUGUGGGGUCCAUUCCACGGGUUCCGUGCCGUAGCUAACGCUUUAAGUACCCCGCCUGGGGAGUACGGCCGCAAGGCUAAAACUCAAAGGAAUUGACGGGGCCCCGCACAAGCGGCGGAGCAUGCGGAUUAAUUCGAUGCAACGCGUAGAACCUUACCUGGGUUUGACAUGGAUCGGGAGUGCUCAGAGAUGGGUGUGCCUCUUUUGGGGUCGGUUCACAGGUGGUGCAUGGCUGUCGUCAGCUCGUGUCGUGAGAUGUUGGGUUAAGUCCCGCAACGAGCGCAACCCUUGUUCACUGUUGCCAGCACGUUAUGGUGGGGACUCAGUGGAGACCGCCGGGGUCAACUCGGAGGAAGGUGGGGAUGACGUCAAGUCAUCAUGCCCCUUAUGUCCAGGGCUUCACGCAUGCUACAAUGGCUGGUACAGAGAGUGGCGAGCCUGUGAGGGUGAGCGAAUCUCGGAAAGCCGGUCUCAGUUCGGAUUGGGGUCUGCAACUCGACCUCAUGAAGUCGGAGUCGCUAGUAAUCGCAGAUCAGCAACGCUGCGGUGAAUAAAAGCCCGGGGCU